UCGUGCUCGCAAUGAGCGUGCUUGAACAUUAAAUUGAUAUAAGCACGUUAAUUCCGACAUCUGACCUGACAGUCAUUUGUGGGCAUACAUACAUACAUACCGAACUCCCGUCAUUCGUACAAAAUAGUUGUGAUCGUCAUGACAAAUCGUGAGCUACUUCACCAUGAGUGUAAAAUGUAUUCAGUGCCAAAAAAACUGAGAAAAGCCAGCAUGCACUCGAGUGUGACAACUGCAACGGGUGGACACACAGAGUCUCCGGAACUAGUGUUUCAAAAACUGAAUACUAGUAUCUGAAAUUGUGUUCCACGGGCGAGAGUUUUGAUUUUCUCUGUUCUCUUUGUACACAUACAGAACGACCUGAAUCGGUUUUAGAAGUCAGUGUAGACAUUAAUAAUGCCAACUUUUCUGUGAAUUUGGAAUCGUCUCUUAAUGCUGAAAUUCAUCGCCUACAUGAAGAAAACAAUGAAGACAUCAUCGAUCUACAAUCUUAUGGAUCUGUUGAUUCUGUUGAAGUUAUCAGCGAUAGGUAUGUUUUUAUAUAUGAAUAUAUUAAUAAUCUCAUCGAUAUCUGUAUUUUUGACCCGUUUGAUAUAUCCAAAUAACGGAAUAGUGACAAAUCGUUGUAAAGCAACCCCCUCCAACAAAAACAACCCAACAUAACAAACAGUUUAACUUGUUUUAAAUGUAAAUACAUUUUUAAUUAAUAAUGAGAAAACUUGAGGAAUCUAUUUACUGACGAAUCAUUCCUAAUCUCAGUAGAUAAAACACAUCUAACAAUUUCAUGUUUUAGGUCUAUAGAGGAAGAAAUCGUUGAAGACAACGAGCCAGACUCCAACCCACAUGACCCAGAUGACUUGCCUGUUUAUUCAUUUAACAAUGAAAAUGAAGAAAACUAUGCAGACAUAUCCGAUCUAGAACGUCCUGGAUCGGUGGAUUCAGUAGAAGACAUUCGAGAAAGGUUGGCACCACAGAAUAAAUAUCAAAGCUGGCGAGCAGCAGCUCGGUAUUUACAAGUUGAUAGCCUGCCUGUAUCAAGAAGCAACACUACUGCCAGUCCAGUCCCAAGUUGAUGCAGGAGAGGAAGACUGGACGUCGUUUGCGGACAUCUGUGUGCAGAAGCCAGCAGGAGCUCUUCCCACAACUGGACACAAUAUAAAGAUGGUGAUAUGAGUCCUGCUGAGCUUCUGAACGCUUGCGCCCAAUUAAAUGGACCUACGCGUUCUGAAGGGUCCAGCCAGCAGUGAAAUUUAAAUUCAGUGACUUUAUUUCUUUAUAAUGAGCUCUUGUGUGUGUGUAUUAUAUUUUGAUUAUCGUAUGCAGAUAAUAUAGUGUUAUUGAGCUUA